rnacentral:rRNA from 1 species
AAACUACUCUCGGCAACGGAUAUGUCGGCUCUCAAAUUUAUGAACAUAGCGAAAUGCGAUACUUGGUGUGAAUUGCAUGAUCUCGUGAACUAUUGAGUCUUUGAACGCAAGUUGCACCCAAAGCUACUAGGCUGAGGGCACGUCUGCCUGGGCGUCACGC